UCCUGAGAACUGCAGAGGUCCUGUCCUCUACCCCUGUCCUUACCUCUCUUAGAAAAAGGGGCAAACUAUUUCACAACUUGUGGGAUCCUAUUUGCAAAUCUGGACGGCCAACUGGUCAAAUUAGCCCCUUUUCCUUUAAUGUAGCUCCCAGAAAGCUCUGCAGAAACAACUCCCCCUCCAGCACCGAGAACAUCCUGUUACCGAGUGCCAAAGGUCUUUUCCCUGCCUGUGGGCCUAGAGGAGUGGCCACUUUACCUUUCCUGCUAUCUUAGCUCAGCCUCCUUUCAUAGGACCAAACAGCAACCACCUGCUGCUCAGAUGCCUGGCUUUUGCUCCCAGGAAAGCAGUCAUGUCAUAAUGGCUAAUAAUUGUUGCUUAAGAGUGUGUGCUUGCCUCAACUAAGAGCGUCCUCAGGUCAGGAGUGUGUAUGUGUGAGACAAUUCCAUCUUCCAGAAUCUUUUGCUCAAGAACAAAGUCUCAGGCAGGGUGAGAAGCUCCUGGUUCCAGCACAACCAAGAUGGUCUGGCCUAAGGCUUCAUUCAGGCUCAGGCUCACUGAUUCCUGGUUACCGGACCUCCCACAAGAUUGACAACAACACAGCUUUGGUCAGACAGUAUCAGACAUUUAUGAAACAAGUGAAUAUUCACAAAAUGUGGGAGAAACACACCUUCUCAGUAAGAAUAAAAUCUCUGUAUAAAGUGCA